GACGAACGCUGGCGGCGUGCUUAACACAUGCAAGUCGAACGGAAAGGCCCUGCUUUUGUGGGGUGCUCGAGUGGCGAACGGGUGAGUAACACGUGAGUAACCUGCCCUUGACUUUGGGAUAACUUCAGGAAACUGGGGCUAAUACCGGAUAGGAGCUCCUGCUGCAUGGUGGGGGUUGGAAAGUUUCGGCGGUUGGGGAUGGACUCGCGGCUUAUCAGCUUGUUGGUGGGGUAGUGGCUUACCAAGGCUUUGACGGGUAGCCGGCCUGAGAGGGUGACCGGACACAUUGGGACUGAGAUAAGGCCCAGACUCCUACGGGAGGCAGCAGUGGGGAAUAGUGCACAAUGGGCGGAAGCCUGAUGCAGCAACGCCGCGUGCGGGAGGACGGCCUUCGGGUUGUAAACCGCUUUCGCCUGUGACGAAGCGUGAGUGACGGUAAUGGGUAAAGAAGCACCGGCUAACUACGUG
rnacentral:rRNA from 1 species